rnacentral:rRNA from 1 species
GACAGAGGGGGCAAGCGUUGCUCGGAAUUACUGGGCGUAAAGGGCGCGUAGGCGGGGUGGCAAGUCGGUCGUGAAAUCCCUCGGCUCAACCGAGGAACGUCGAUCGAUACUGCUGUUCUUGAGGAUUGCAGAGGAGACUGGAAUUCCCGGUGUAGCGGUGAAAUGUGUAGAGAUCGGGAGGAACACCUGUGGCGAAGGCGGCCCCCUGGGCCGGCCCUGACACUGAGACGCGGAAGGCGUGGGGAGCCGAACGGG